rnacentral:rRNA from 1 species
UACAGAGGUCCCAAGCGUUACUGAGAUUCACUGGGUUUAAAGGGUGCGUAGGUGGCGCGUUAAGUCAGUUGUGAAAUCCCCGGGCUCAACCCGGGAAAUGCUUCUGAUACUGGCGUGCUUGAGGCCGGUAUAGGUUACUGGAACGGACGGUGGAGCGGUGAAAUGCGUAGAUAUCGUCUGGAACGCCAGUGGUGAAGACGGGUAACUGUGCCGGUUCUGACACCGAGGCACGAAAGCCAGGGGAGCGAACGGG